rnacentral:rRNA from 1 species
CGAACGUUGGCGGCGUGCUUAACACAUGCAAGUCGAACGAGAAAGUUCCUUCGGGGACGAGUAAAGUGGCGCACGGGUGAGUAACGCGUAAGUAAUCUACCCUUGCAUCUGGAAUAACUACGGGAAGCUGUAGCUAAUACCGGAUACGUUCUCCAUUCUACGGGAUGGAGAAGAAAGAUGACCUCUUCUUGAAAGUUAUCGUGCAGGGAGGAGCUUGCGUACCAUUAGCUAGUUGGUAGGGUAAUGGCCUACCAAGGCAACGAUGGUUAGCGGGUCUGAGAGGAUGAUCCGCCACACUGGAACUGGAACACGGACCAGACUCCUACGGGAGGCAGCAGUGAGGAAUAUUGCGCAAUGGGGGAAACCCUGACGCAGCGACGCCGCGUGGAUGAUGAAGGCCUUAGGGUCGUAAAAUCCUGUCAGGUGGGAAGAAAUGUAUGAGAGAAUAAUACCUCUUGUGCUUGACGGUACCACCAGAGGAAGCACCGGCUAACUCC